AUACUCUGCUUUCUCUCCAGAUCAUAUAAAUCUUAUGCCUUUUACUAAAGAUUUCCAUGGGGAGGAACAAUUGUGAGUCUUUACUCCAUUUUUUAAGGCCUUAUUUCGACAAGGCU